rnacentral:misc_RNA from 1 species
AACCAUAGAAACCUGCGGAGUACCUGCGGAGGGAUCAUUAUAGUAUAUGGAAUCUCCAUUCUAUAAACCCACUCUGCGUAUCUUGUAACUGUUGCUUCCAUGGGACUUGGUCCCGCCACACCGGCUUCACGGCUGGUGAGCGCCCAUGGAAGGAGAAACAAAACUCUUCUUUGAAAUGUAGUCAGUCUGAACAAGUUUUUAUAAACGUUAAAACUUUUAGCAACGGAUCUCAGAUCGGAA